AUUGAACGCUGGCGGCAUGCUUUACACAUGCCAGUCGAACGGCAGCGCGGGUUUCGGCCUGGCGGCGAGUGGCGAGCGGGUGAGUAAUACAUCGGAACGUGCCCAGUAGUGGGGGAUAGCUCGGCGAAAGCCGGAUUAAUACCGCAUACGACCUGAGGGUGAAAGCGGGGGAUCUUCGGACCUCGCGCUAUUGGAGCGGCCGAUGGCAGAUUAGCUAGUUGGUGGGGUAAAGGCCUACCAAGGCGACGAUCUGUAGCUGGUCUGAGAGGACGACCAGCCACACUGGGACUGAGACACGGCCCAGACUCCUACGGGAGGCAGCAGUGGGGAAUUUUGGACAAUGGGCGAAAGCCUGAUCCAGCAAUGCCGCGUGUGUGAUGAAGGCCUUCGGGUUGUAAAGCACUUUUGGCGGGAACGAAAAGGACUGUGCCAAUACCACGGUUCGAUGACGGUACCCGCAGAAUAAGCACCGGCUAACUACGUG
rnacentral:rRNA from 1 species